GAGUGAUGUGGAGACGGAGGAGUGACAACGCCGCGGACUGACGGAAUAGUCCGUUAAAGGGUGUAGAUGUUGAUUAUCCCAGGCAAAUCCGGGAUAAGAGUCGAACCUGACAGUAUACCAAUUUCCCCGGAAAACGGUAAUAGUGCGUGUAAACAUACUCCCAAGAAAAUCCGCUAAACUUAAUCUUACAGGUACCCGUACCGUAAACGGACACACGUAGUCGGGUUGAAUAUACUCAGGCGCUUGAGUGAAUCACGGUUAAGGAACUAGGCAAAUUGACCCUGUAACUUCGGGAUAAAGGGUCCCUACCCGGUGACGGGAGGGCGCAGAGAAUAGGUCCAGGCAACUGUUUAACAAAAACACAGGGCUGUGCAAAAUUGAAAGAUCACGUAUACAGCCUGACACCUGCCCGGUGCUGGAAGGUUAAGAGGAGAUGUCAUCGCAAGAGAAGCAUUGAAUUGAAGCCCCAGUAAACGGCGGCCGUAACUAUAACGGUCCUAAGGUAGCGAAAUUCCUUGUCGGGUAAGUUCCGACCUGCACGAAUGGUGUAAUGAUCUGGACACUGUCUCAACCGUGAGCUCAGUGAAAUUGUAGUAUCGGUGAAGAUGCCGAUUACCCGCGAUGGGACGAAAAGACCCCGUGAACCUUUACUAUAGCUUAACAUUGAAUUUGGGUAAUUGAUGUGUAGGAUAGGCCGGAGACUUUGAAGC
rnacentral:rRNA from 1 species